UGAAAGGUAUUUUAAUUGUAAAAUAAGGGUUUUUGGUUCCCUAGAUGUGAGUUCGUCACCCACCUUUUCAA
rnacentral:tRNA from 1 species